rnacentral:rRNA from 1 species
CCUACGGUGGGCAGCAGUGAGGAAUAUUGGUCAAUGGGCGGGAGCCUGAACCAGCCAAGCCGCGUGAAGGAAGAAGGCGCCAGGCGUCGUAAACUUCUUUUGUCGGGGAACAAAGGGCGCCACGCGUGGCGUUGUGAGUGUACCCGAAGAAAAAGCAUCGGCUAACUCCGUGCCAGCAGCCGCGGAAAUACGGAGGAUCCGAGCGUUAUCCGGAUUUAUUGGGUUUAAAGGGAGCGUAGAUGGGUUGUUAAGUCAGUUGUGAAAGUUUGCGGCUCAACCGUAAAAUUGCAAUUGAUACUGGCAGCCUUGAGUACAGUUGAGGUAGGCGGAAUUCGUGGUGUAGCGGUGAAAUGCUUAGAUAUCACGAAGAACUCCGAUUGCGAAGGCAGCUUACCAAUCUAUAUCUGACGUUGAGGCACGAAAGCGUGGGGAGCAAACAGGAUUAGAUACCCCUGUAGUC